rnacentral:rRNA from 1 species
UACGGAGGGUGCAAGCGUUGUUCGGACUUACUGGGCGUAAAGCGCGCGCAGGCGGUUUUCCAAGUCAGUGGUGAAAGCCCGGAGCUCAACUCCGGAAAUGCCAUUGAAACUGUAGAACUUGAGGACGAGAGAGGUGAGUGGAAUUCCCAGUGUAGAGGUGAAAUUCGUAGAUAUUGGGAAGAACACCGGUGGCGAAGGCGGCUCACUGGCUCGUUUCUGACGCUGAGGCACGAAAGCGUGGGGAUCAAACAGG